GAUGAACGCUGGCGGCGUGCCUAAUACAUGCAAGUCGAGCGAACAGACGAGGUGCUUGCUCCACUGACGUUAGCGGCGGAUGGGUGAGUAACACGUGGAUAACCUACCUAUAAGACUGGGAUAAAUUCGGGAAACCGGAGCUAAUACCGGAUAAUAUAUUGAACCGCAUGGUUCAAUAGUGAAAGACGGUUUUGCUGUCACUUAUAUAUGUAUCCUCGCCGCAUUAGCUAGUUGGUAAGGUAACGGCUUACCAAGGCGACGAUGCGUAGCCGACCUGAGAGGGUGAUCGGCCACACUGGAACUGAGACACGGUCCAGACUCCUACGGGAGGCAGCAGUAGGGAAUCUUCCGCAAUGGGCGAAAGCCUGACGGAGCAACGCCGCGUGAGUGAUGAAGGUCUUCGGAUCGUAAAACUCUGUUAUUAGGGAAGAACAAAUGUGUAAGUAACUAUGCACGUCUUGACGGUACCUAAUCAGAAAGCCACGGCUAACUACGUG
rnacentral:rRNA from 1 species